CCUACGGGCGGCAGCAGUGGGGAAUAUUGGGCAAUGGGCGCAAGCCUGACCCAGCAAUGCCGCGUGAAGGAAGCAGGCUUUAUGGUUGUAAACUUCUUUGACAGUGGUAGAGCAGAAGGCGGUACCCUGAAAUCAAGCCACGGCUAACUACGUCCCAGCAACCGCGGUAAUACGUAGAUGGCAAGCGGUGUCCGGAUUUACUGGGUGUAACGGGCGUGUAGCCGGGAAGGCAAGUCAGAUGUGAAAUCCUGAGGCUCAAACUUCGAAUUGCAGUUGAAACUGGUUGUCUUGAGUACUGUAGAGGCAGGCGGAAUGCCUGGUGUAGCGGUGAAAUGCGUAGAUAUAAGGAGGAAAUCCAGUGGCGAAGGCGGUCUACUGGACAGCAACUGACGGUGAGGCGCGAAAGCGUGGGGAGCAAACAGGAUUAGAUACCCGUGUAGUC
rnacentral:rRNA from 1 species